rnacentral:rRNA from 1 species
UUGGGUCUCCCAUACAGGGCGCUAGCCCGUCGGUGCUUUUGCACCGCGCCGUCCGCAGGCCUUUGGCCGUGAGGACAGAACUGAACAGGUUUCCAAGCAUUGUAAUAAGGUAUCUGCAUCUGAAUACAUAGGGUGUAAGAAGCGAACUCAGGGAACUGAAACAUCUAAGUACCUGAAGGAAAGGACAUCAACCGAGACUCCGUAAGUAGUGGCGAGCGAACGCGGACCAGGCCAGUGGCAAUGCUGAAUAAAGUCGAACACUUUGGAAAAGGUGGCCGUAGCGGGUGAUAGCCCCGUAGACGUAGAACAGGCAUUGUCCUUGAGUAGGGCGGGACACGUGAAAUCCUGUCUGAACAUGGGGAGACCACUCUCCAAGCCUAAGUACUCGUGCAUGACCGAUAGCGAACAAGUACCGUGAGGGAAAGGUGAAAAGCACCCCGACGAGGGGAGUGAAAUAGAACCUGAAACCGGAUGCCUACAAGCAGUCGGAGCCCGCAAGGGUGACGGCGUACCUUUUGUAUAAUGGGUCAACGACUUAGUGUAGCAAGCAAGCUUAAGCCGGUAGGUGUAGGCGUAGCGAAAGCGAGUCUGAAUAGGGCGUUUAGUUUGUUGCAUUAGACCCGAAACCGAGUGAUCUAGCCAUGAGCAGGCUGAAGGUUGGGUAACACCAACUGGAGGGCCGAACCCAUAUCUGUUGCAAUAGAUUGGGAUGACUUGUGGCUAGGGGUGAAAGGCCAAUCAAACUCGGAAAUAGCUGGUUCUCCGCGAAAACUAUUUAGGUAGUGCGUCGAUCGAAUACCCUCGGGGGUAGAGCACUGGAUGGGCUAUGGGGAACUCACCGUCUUACUGAUCCUAACCAAACUCCGAAUACCGAGGAGUACUAAUCGGCAGACACACGGCGGGUGCUAACGUCCGUCGUGAAGAGGGCAACAACCCUGACCUCCAGCUAAGGUCCCCAAGUCAUGGCUAAGUGGGAAAGGAUGUGAGGAUCCCAAAACAACCAGGAUGUUGGCUUAGAAGCAGCCAUCAUUUAAAGAAAGCGUAACAGCUCACUGGUCUAAAUAAGGGUCUUUGCGCCGAAAAUGUAACGGGGCUAAAGCCAUGCACCGAAGCUGAGGAUAAGACAGUCGUAGUGGCUGUUUUGUGGUAGCGGAGCGUUCCGUAAGUCUGUGAAGGCGGACCCGUGAGGGCUGCUGGAGAUAUCGGAAGUGCGAAUGUUGACAUGAGUAACGAUAAAGGGAGUGAGAGACUCCCUCGCCGAAAGACCAAGGGUUCCUGCUUAAAGUUAAUCUGAGCAGGGUUAGCCGGCCCCUAAGACGAGGCGGACACGCGUAGUCGAUGGGAACCACGUUAAUAUUCGUGGGCCUGGUGGUAGUGACGGAUCUCGUGUGUUGUACAUUCUUAUUGGAUUGAAUGUGCGGCGAAGAGGUUCCAGGAAAUAGCUCCACCGUAUAGACCGUACCCGAAACCGACACAGGUGGUCAGGUAGAGUAUACCAAGGCGCUUGAGAGAACUAUGUUGAAGGAACUCGGCAAAUUGCACGCGUAACUUCGGAAGAAGCGUGACCCCAUGGUACGCAAGUAUGAUGGGGUGGCACAGACCAGGGGGUAGCGACUGUUUAUCAAAAACACAGGGCUCUGCGAAGUAGCAAUACGACGUAUAGGGUCUGACGCCUGCCCGGUGCUGGAAGGUUAAAGGGAGGGGUGCAAGCUCUGAACUGAAGCCCCAGUAAACGGCGGCCGUAACUAUAACGGUCCUAAGGUAGCGAAAUUGCCUUGUCGGGUAAGUUCCGACCUGCACGAAUGGCGUAACGACUUCCCCGCUGUCUCCAACAUAGACUCAGUGAAAUGAAUUCCCCGUGAAGAUGCGGGGUUCCUGCGGUCAGACGGAAAGACCCCGUGCACCUUUACUAUAGCUUUACACUGGCAUUCGCCAAGGCAUGUGUAGGAUAGGUGGUAGGCUUUGAAGCGGGGACGCCAGUUCUCGUGGAGCCAUCCUUGAAAUACCACCCUUAUCUUCGUGGAUGUCUAACCGCGGUCCGUUAUCCGGAUCCGGGACAGUGUAUGGUGGGUAGUUUGACUGGGGCGGUCGCCUCCGAAAGAGUAACGGAGGCGCGCGAUGGUUAGCUCAGACCGGUCGGAAAUCGGUCGUCGAGUGCAAUGGCAUAAGCUAGCCUGACUGCGAGACUGACAAGUCGAGCAGAGACGAAAGUCGGUCAUAGUGAUCCGGUGGUCCCGUGUGGAAGGGCCAUCGCUCAACGGAUAAAAGGUACGCCGGGGAUAACAGGCUGAUGACCCCCAAGAGUCCAUAUCGACGGGGUUGUUUGGCACCUCGAUGUCGACUCAUCGCAUCCUGGGGCUGGAGCAGGUCCCA